rnacentral:rRNA from 1 species
AACGAACGCUGGCGGCAUGCCUAACACAUGCAAGUCGAACGAGACCUUCGGGUCUAGUGGCGCACGGGUGCGUAACGCGUGGGAACCUGCCCUUAGGUUCGGAAUAACUCCCCGAAAGGGGUGCUAAUACCGGAUAAUGUCUUCGGACCAAAGAUUUAUCGCCUUUGGAUGGGCCCGCGUUGGAUUAGCUAGUUGGUAGGGUAAAAGCCUACCAAGGCGACGAUCCAUAGCUGGUCUGAGAGGAUGAUCAGCCACACUGGGACUGAGACACGGCCCAGACUCCUACGGGAGGCAGCAGUGGGGAAUAUUGGACAGGGGGCGAAAGCCUGAUCCAGCAAUGCCGCGUGAGUGAUGAAGGCCUUAGGGUUGUAAAGCUCUUUUACCCGGGAUGAUAAUGACAGUACCGGGAGAAUAAGCUCCGGCGAACUCCGU